rfam:Beta vulgaris subsp. vulgaris Bvchr5.sca008.con0285.1, whole genome shotgun sequence.
AUGUCGUGGUGUAGGCAUUGGUGUUGUAAAGCCUUAUAUCUGUGCCAUGCCUCAUAGAGAGACUCCAAUUCAUGUUGUUUAAAACCAGAUAUUUCAUUUUCGAACUU